UACGUAGGGGGCAAGCGUUGUCCGGAAUCAUUGGGCGUAAAGCGCGUGUAGGCGGCUUGGUAAGUCCGCUCUGAAAGCCCGGGGCUCAACCCCGGGAGGCGGGUGGAUACUGUCAAGCUCGAGUCCGGAAGAGGCGAGUGGACUUCCUGGUGUAGCGGUGAAAUGCGCAGAUAUCGGGAGGAACACCGGUGGCGAAGGCGGUUCUCUGGGCCUGUAC
rnacentral:rRNA from 1 species